CCAAAGGCUCUUUUCAGAGCCACACACACUUUCUGUAGAUGCAGCU
rfam:Rattus norvegicus chromosome 17, whole genome shotgun sequence.